UUUAGUGGUGCCUCUGGGCAGCUGCUGGGAGCUGCCUGCAUGAUCCGUCAUGCGCAUGCCCAAGAUGAUAAUCCUGUUUUAUGAGGAUUUACGACACUGCACGAAUCACGA